rnacentral:rRNA from 1 species
GACGAACGCUGGCGGCGUGCUUAACACAUGCAAGUCGAACGGAAAGGCCCUGCUUGCAGGGUGCUCGAGUGGCGAACGGGUGAGUAACACGUGGGUGAUCUGCCCCUUACUUUGGGAUAAGCCUGGGAAACUGGGUCUAAUACUGGAUAGGACCAUGCUGUAGGUGGUGUGGUGGAAAGAUUAGUUUCGGUAAGGGAUGAGCUCGCGGCCUAUCAGCUUGUUGGUGGGGUAAUGGCCUACCAAGGCGUCGACGGGUAGCCGGCCUGAGAGGGUGGACGGCCACAUUGGGACUGAGAUACGGGCCAGACUCAUACGGGAGGCAGCAGUGGGGAAUAUUGCACAAUGGGAGCAAGCCUGAUGCAGCGACGCCGCGUGGGGGAUGACGGCCUUCGGGUUGUAAACUCCUUUCGGCCAUGACGAAGCCCUUGUGGUGACGGUAGUGGUAGAAGAAGCACCGGCUAACUACGUG